ensembl:lncRNA
GUUGUUCUCAUAGAUAUGAAUGAGUAGAUAGGACACGCCCCUUUGAGCUGCGUGCUACAGCGAGGCUAAGCUAGUGGGGGAAAAGUUUCAGUGCAUUCCGUUGAUGUAGACGGCGUGAAAACGGAAACAACAAGAAUGCCGUUUCACUGUGCUGCAUACAGUUACACACUACGUCGUACGAUUGAGACAAGGAAACUUGGAAUGACUUUUCAUAGGUUUCCCAGAGACUAUGGGUUGAGGAGGAAUUGGAAGUUUGUCGGCUUAGACCUGGUGUCAUUCCAUCAGUGUUAAACUUCCCGGCUCAUCUUGGAAGAGUACGUGCCAGAAAGACCACGACCAAGCAGCCUUGAGAUCUUAGACAGCGUCUCCCUGAGGUCCCUCUCUAUCUCCCCACACAUCCACCAACCACUAGAACACAUCUCCAAAGUUCUGCUGGACCAGCUCAGCUUCCCCUCAGAAGAAGUGCCGCCACCUGCCAGAUGAAGGAGCCUUUUGAGAGGCAGCUGGCAUCGUGAUUGGACUGUACUUUGGUCUGUUCCAAUCCAGCUUCAGCUCCAGAGACGGCAGGCGGGACGAGUCAACGGAGGCCGGGUGGAUGAAGACAUGCAGCUGAGUACAAUCCAGAAAACAACAGAGGAGGAGUGCAGCAGCCCAGAGCCAGAACAACCAGAGUAGCAUCGUAUGUCUCUUAGAAAACAUCAUAGUAGAGCUUUUGGUAUGAAAAAACACCAUCAUAUACAUCGUAUAUUGUACAAAUAAUAAGUCAAAGCAAAGAGACAUACAUUGUAGAAUUGUAGCAAUUGUGGGCUGACUGAUUUACUGAUUAUCAGUAUUUUAUUUUUUACUGAUUUAUGGUAAUAAAUACA